rnacentral:rRNA from 1 species
AGUGAACGCUGGCGGUAGGCCUAACACAUGCAAGUCGAACGGCAGCACAGUAAGAGCUUGCUCUUACGGGUGGCGAGUGGCGGACGGGUGAGGAAUACAUCGGAAUCUACUUUUUCGUGGGGGAUAACGUAGGGAAACUUACGCUAAUACCGCAUACGACCUACGGGUGAAAGCAGGGGAUCUUCGGACCUUGCGCGAUUGAAUGAGCCGAUGUCGGAUUAGCUAGUUGGCGGGGUAAGGGCCCACCAAGGCGACGAUCCGUAGCUGGUCUGAGAGGAUGAUCAGCCACACUGGAACUGAGACACGGUCCAGACUCCUACGGGAGGCAGCAGUGGGAAAUAUUGGACAAAGGGCGCAAGCCUGAUCCAGCCAUACCGCGUGGGUGAAGAAGGCCUUCGGGUUGUAAAGCCCUUUUGUUGGGAAAGAAAAGCAGCAGGUUAAUACCCCGCUGUUCUGACGGUACCCAAAGAAUAAGCACCGGCUAACUUCGUG